rnacentral:rRNA from 1 species
GAGGUUCUAACCUUGGCCCGUGAUCCGGGUCGGGGACAGUGCAUGGUAGGCAGUUUGACUGGGGCGGUCUCCUCCCAAAGCGUAACGGAGGAGUACGAAGGUACGCUAGGUACGGUCGGAAAUCGUGCUGAUAGUGCAAUGGCAUAAGCGUGCUUAACUGCGAGACCGACAAGUCGAGCAGGUGCGAAAGCAGGUCAUAGUGAUCCGGUGGUUCUGUAUGGAAGGGCCAUCGCUCAACGGAUAAAAGGUACUCUGGGGAUAACAGGCUGAUACCGCCCAAGAGUUCAUAUCGACGGCGGUGUUUGGCACCUCGAUGUCGGCUCAUCUCAUCCUGGGGCUGUAGCCGGUCCCAAGGGUAUGGCUGUUCGCCAUUUAAAGAGGUACGUGAGCUGGGUUUAAAACGUCGUGAGACAGUUUGGUCCCUAUCUGCCGUGGGCGUUGGAUAUUUGAAGGGGCUGCUCCUAGUACGAGAGGACCGGAGUGGACGAACCUCUGGUGUACCGGUUGUCACGCCAGUGGCAUCGCCGGGUAGCUAUGUUCGGAAGAGAUAACCGCUGAAAGCAUCUAAGCGGGAAACUCGCCUUAAGAUGAGAUAUCCCUGGGGACUAGAUCCCCUUGAAGGGUCGUUCGAGACCAGGACGUUGAUAGGUCAGGUGUGUAAGCGCAGUAAUGCGUUCAGCUAACUGAUACUAAUUGCCCGUAAGGCUUGAUCCUAUAACA